GAGUUUGAUCUUGGCUCAGAUUGAACGCUGGCGGCAUGCCUUACACAUGCAAGUCGAACGGCAGCAUGAUCUAGCUUGCUAGAUUGAUGGCGAGUGGCGAACGGGUGAGUAAUACAUCGGAACGUGCCCUGUAGUGGGGGAUAACUAGUCGAAAGAUUAGCUAAUACCGCAUACGACCUGAGGGUGAAAGUGGGGGACCGCAAGGCCUCAUGCUAUAGGAGCGGCCGAUGUCUGAUUAGCUAGUUGGUGGGGUAAAGGCCCACCAAGGCGACGAUCAGUAGCUGGUCUGAGAGGACGAUCAGCCACACUGGGACUGAGACACGGCCCAGACUCCUACGGGAGGCAGCAGUGGGGAAUUUUGGACAAUGGGCGAAAGCCUGAUCCAGCAAUGCCGCGUGUGUGAAGAAGGCC
rnacentral:rRNA from 1 species